AACAGUCUCAGGGUGACAGACCUAGUCCUGGACGCCUGCAUUACCUGGCUUACUGGGACACAGCACAGGCCUAUGGCACCAAGACUCUGGAGCCUUUGGAGCCUCUGGAGCCUUACAGGCAGUACUAUCCAGAUCCCCACCCUGCCCACACCAUUCAGCUGAUGAUGGUGGCCAAGCUUUAGCACUUCCUGGUUUGCCUGGAGGACGCACAGCACAAACUGAGACUGGUGCUGAACAAUUGCUAUGUCUGCCCUAUCCCAGUCUCCCCUCAUCUACAGUCUCUCAGGGCUUUUGGACAGGAGGAUACAACGUUAGAGUGUACGACAGACACGGCCUACAGUAUGACAUCAUGAAGGCUACCCAUGGCAACCAGCACCCCCUGACCUCAUCAGGAGGUUGGAGGAGUGUCGGGUGGAGAUGGACUGCGCUUAGCAACCCGCCCUAGCGAGGGGAUUUGAGACGUCCACGGCUGUUCAGAAAGUAGUACAUGUUGGUGAUGAAGAGCUGUGCCAUGAUAUGUGGUAAUAAAAUGAUCAUUUCCUGGA